CCUACGGGAGGCAGCAGUGAGGAAUAUUGGUCAAUGGGCGCAAGCCUGAACCAGCCAAGUCGCGUGAGGGAAGACGGUCCUAUGGAUUGUAAACCUCUUUUGUCGGGGAGCAAAGCGCGGUACGAGUGCCGUGAAGGAGAGUACCCGAAGAAAAAGCAUCGGCUAACUCCGUGCCAGCAGCCGCGGUAAUACGGAGGGUGCGAGCGUUAAUCGGAAUUACUGGGCGUAAAGCGCUCGUAGGCGGUAUGUCAAGUCAAGGGUGAAAUCCCCGCGCUCAACGUGGGAACUGCCUUUGAAACUGGCAA
rnacentral:rRNA from 1 species